rnacentral:rRNA from 1 species
UACGUAGGGGGCUAGCGUUGUCCGGAAUCAUUGGGCGUAAAGAGCGUGUAGGCGGCCCGGUAAGUCCGCUGUGAAAGUCGGGGGCUCAACCCUCGAAUGCCGGUGGAUACUGUCGGGCUAGAGUGCGGAAGAGGCGAGUGGAAUUCCUGGUGUAGCGGUGAAAUGCGCAGAUAUCGGGAAGAACACCCGUGGCGAAGGCAGCUCGCUGGGACGGUACUGACGCUGAGACGCGAAAGCGUGGGGAGCAAACAGG